GGUCUCUUGGCCUAAUGGUAAGGCGUUGCUUUCCGGUUCUGCAGACGAGAAAUCGUUGCUCUGCUGCUUGGCAAAGAUUCUGGGUUCGAUCCCCAGGGAGAUCG